rnacentral:rRNA from 1 species
ACGAACGCUGGCGGCGUGCCUAACACAUGCAAGUCGAGCGAGGAGAUCCUUCGGGAUGAUCCUAGCGGCGGACGGGUGAGUAACACGUGGGCAACCUGCCUCAUAGAGAGGAAUAGCCUUCCGAAAGGGAGAUUAAUACCUCAUAACAUUGCAGUUUCGCAUGGAACAGCAAUUAAAGGAGUAAUCCGCUAUGAGAUGGGCCCGCGGCGCAUUAGCUAGUUGGUGAGGUAACGGCUCACCAAGGCGACGAUGCGUAGCCGACCUGAGAGGGUGAUCGGCCACAUUGGGACUGAGACACGGCCCAGACUCCUACGGGAGGCGGCAGUGGGGAAUAUUGCACAAUGGGGGGAAAUCCUGAUGCAGCCAACGCCGCGUGAGUGAUGACGGCCUUCGGGUUGUAAAGCUCUGUCUUCAGGGACGAUAAUGACGGUACCUGAGGAGGAAGCCACGGCUAACUACGUGCCAGCAGCUGC